rnacentral:misc_RNA from 1 species
UGUUAAUACAAUAAAUUCCAAACAUGCACACAAUGGGCCAAACCAAGUCCUUCCACAACGAGAUACUAGACCAUAGGUGGAUACUGCUUCGACUGCUGCCGAACCCGUCUCUUGUACUCUGUUGGUUCCUGGAUAAAUAGAUGAUAACCAUCAGUCUGUGCAGGGUCAGCAGGAUUGGGUUGGUCCAGCAAGUCCUGUAUUCCCACAAGAAUCUGCUUCACAGUUAUAGCCGGUCUCCACCCGCUGUCCUCAUUGAGGAUUGAUAGGCACACUGUUCCAGAAGGGUAGACAUUUGGAUGGAAGAAGCCCGGUGGGAACUUGCACUUUGGGGGUUUGCUCGGGUAGUCCUCGCUGAAGCUCAGUGUGAGAGGGAAAUAACCACCUUCCCAAUCAGUCCCAUUCUUUCCCGGAAUAGUGCAGUGCCACAACAUCAAAUUAACAGAGCCAUCAGACAGCGUCUCCGGCUUCGCGACGAAACCAUGGGGAUGGUUCUUGCGCCAUGAUUUGCGCUCCUCGGCGAGACGGCCGCGCGCGAUUCCACCGGACAUGAUGAGGGAGCUGGCGGUGAUUUUGCCCUAAUUUCUUCGGGAGCAGAGUAGCGGAAAGCUGAUAGAGAGGUAGCGGUCUUCAG